GAUGAACGCUGGCGGCGUGCCUAAUACAUGCAAGUCGAGCGAACAGAUGAGGAGCUUGCUCCUCUGACGUUAGCGGCGGACGGGUGAGUAACACGUGGAUAACCUACCUAUAAGACUGGGAUAACUUCGGGAAACCGGAGCUAAUACCGGAUAAUAUAUUGAACCGCAUGGUUCAAUAGUGAAAGACGGUUUUGCUGUCACUUAUAGAUGGAUCCGCGCCGCAUUAGCUAGUUGGUAAGGUAACGGCUUACCAAGGCAACGAUGCGUAGCCGACCUGAGAGGGUGAUCGGCCACACUGGAACUGAGACACGCUCCAGACUCCUACGGGAGGCAGCAGUAGGAAAUCUUCCGCAAUGGGCGAAAGCGUGACGGAGCAACGCCGCGUGAGUGAUGAAGGUCUUCGGAUCGUAAAACUCUGUUAUUAGGAAAGAACAAAUGUGUAAGUAACUAUGCACGUCUUGACAGUACCUAAUCAGAAAGCCACGGCUAACUACGU
rnacentral:rRNA from 1 species